GAUGAACGCUAGCGAUAGGCCUAACACAUGCAAGUCGAGGGGCAUCACAUGAAGUAGCAAUACGGAUGGUGGCGACCGGCGCACGGGUGAGUAACACGUAUGCAACCUGCCUUCAACAAGGGGAUAACCCGUUGAAAGACGGACUAAUACCCUAUAACACAGGGGUCCCGCAUGGGAAUAUUUGUUAAAGGACAACCGGUUGAAGAUGGGCAUGCGUUCCAUUAGCUAGUUGGCGGGGUAACGGCCCACCAAGGCAACGAUGGAUAGGGGAACUGAGAGGUUUAUCCCCCACACUGGUACUGAGACACGGACCAGACUCCUACGGGAGGCAGCAGUGAGGAAUAUUGGUCAAUGGACGCAAGUCUGAACCAGCCACGUCGCGUGAAGGAAGACGCCCUACGGGUUGUAAACUUCUUUGCAAGGGAAUAAAGUGGGCCACGUGUGGCCUUUGCAAGUACCUUGCGAAUAAGGAUCGGCUAACUCCGUGCCAGCAGCCGCG
rnacentral:rRNA from 1 species